UAGGGAAUAUUAGUAAUGGGCGAAAGCCUGAACUAGCAACGCCGCGUGUGCGAAGAAGGCCUUCGGGUUGUAAAGCACUUUUUGAGAGGAUGAGGAAGGACGGUACUCUCAGAAUAAGUCUCGGCUAACUACGUGCCAGCAGCCGCGGUAACACGUAGGAGGCGAACGUUAUCCGGAUUUACUGGGCGUAAAGCGCGUGUAGGUGGUUUGGUAAGUAGGGCGUGAAAGCUCCUGGCUCAACUGGGAGAGGCCGUUCUAAACUGCCGAACUAGAGGAUGGUAGAGGGAGGUGGAAUUCCGGGUGUAGCGGUGGAAUGCGCAGAUAUCCGGAGGAACACCAGUGGCGAAAGCGGCUACCUGGACCGAUAUUGACGCUGAGACGCGAAAGCGUGGGGAGCAAACAG
rnacentral:rRNA from 1 species